AUUGAACGCUGGCGGCAUGCUUUACACAUGCAAGUCGAACGGUAACAGGCCGCAAGGUGCUGACGAGUGGCGAACGGGUGAGUAAUGCAUCGGAACGUGCCCAGUCGUGGGGGAUAGCUACUCGAAAGAGUAGCUAAUACCGCAUACGAUCUAUGGAUGAAAGCGGGGGACCUUAAGGCCUCGCGCGAUUGGAGCGGCCGAUGUCAGAUUAGGUAGUUGGUGGGGUAAAGGCUCACCAAGCCAACGAUCUGUAGCUGGUCUGAGAGGACAACCAGCCACACUGGGACUGAGACACGGCCCAGACUCCUACGGGAGGCAGCAGUGGGGAAUUUUGGACAAUGGGCGCAAGCCUGAUCCAGCAAUGCCGCGUGCAGGAAGAAGGCCUUCGGGUUGUAAACUGCUUUUGUACGGAACGAAACGGCUCUGGUUAAUACCCGGGGCUAAUGACGGUACCGUAAGAAUAAGCACCGGCUAACUACGUG
rnacentral:rRNA from 1 species